UCAAUAUAAAUGAAGGAUUAAUCAGUAAAUUAACAUGUUGCCCUCCCUGGUUUUCAUUUCAUUUGUAAGAGGUGGGGAGAAAAGUAUAAAAAUGGAAGGUUGACAAGGACAGUAGGCCUCAGCAGCAGAAGAGCAGUGUGGGGAUCGAACCGCCAAAAGCAAAAUCCCUAGCUCCUUUAACCCAUCAAUAACCAGAACCAGAGCGAGCAAAUUGAGCGAAUCGCCGCUCAUUUCUCGCUCUGGUUCCCUCCCAUGUCGAAAAGGGUUCUUUGCAAGUUCUUUGUUCACGGUGCAUGUCUGAAAGGGGAGUAUUGUGAGUUCUCACAUGAUUGGAAAGAUCCUCCAUAUAAUGUAUGCUUAUACUACCAAAAAGGAUUAUGUGCCUACGGCAACAGGUGUAGAUACAAACAUGUUAAAGUUUCCGAACAACCUACACUUCCAUCUUCGUCAGCUCCAGCUCAACAUCUGCGCUCAGCUUCUCCUGCCACCACCCUCUCACCUGGAAUGCUAGCAAAUGAUGCAGGACGUCUGUCAGGCAUUUCUUCCGAGUAUUUGGCUUCAAGUGGACCUUUUUACCCUCCCAACCGACCUGUAUGGAGUGAAAAUUCAGAGCAUCAUGAUGUGGAAGAGAUUGAUGGUAUUGUCGAAUUGAAGAUAAUUAAUCCAUCUGAUCAAUCAAUUUGCUCUUUUGCUGCUGCUGGUAAAUGUUCCCGGGGAGAAAAAUGUCCUUAUAUUCAUGGAGAUUUGUGUCCAAUCUGUGUGAAGCAUUGUUUGCAUCCUUUCCGGCCUCAGGAAAGUGGGGAGCAUAUGAAAAUAUGUGAGAAGAGGCAAAAGCGCCUUGAUUUACUGAAACAUAGUCAAGAAAUAGAGUGCAGUGUGUGUCUUGAACGUGUACUUUCUAAGACAACUGCAGCAGAGCGGAAGUUUGGGAUCCUUUUUGAGUGUGAUCAUCCAUUUUGUAUAUCGUGUAUCAGGAAUUGGCGCAGUGGUUCUCCUUCCUCUGGGGUUGAUAUCAACUCGACAUUUAGGACCUGCCCCGUAUGCCGUCAGCUUUCAUAUUUUGUCAUUCCGAGUGUCAUUUGGUACACUACAAAAGAAGAAAAGAAAGAUAUCCUUGACGGCUACAAAGCCAAACUCAGCUCAGGACUAUUGACUGCAAGCAUUAUGACUUCGGCAAUGGGACUUGUCCUUUUGGAAAUAGUUGUUUCUACAAGCAUCAACACCGUGAUGGCCCUCCGGAGGAAGUGGUUCUACGUAAUCUUGGUCAUGAAGAUGGAAGCACAGUGACUGCUAAAAAUAUUAGGCUCUCAAACUUGCUCGGCAACUUGAGAAUAAGUGAACGAUGAAUACGCUUAGAGUGAUUUCUGGGGCUGAAGUUGGAAACAACUUAUAUUUCUCGAAGUGGUUACAAGAUUUGUUGUGUUACCAGAUUUAUUACAUUUUGUGAGUGCUGCUGAAUUGUGCGUUGGGAGUUGAGGUGCAGGCAUGGCAUUUCAGACAAGGGAUUUGCUUGGAUAAUUGCGGAUACAAGUAUUGAACCAUAAAACAAAACCUAUCCGCAAAAUAAUUUUUUUUUAAAAAAAAAAAAAAGAAAGAAAGAAAGAGAAAAUGUAUAUGGAUUGUGUAUAUUACCAAGUCUAAUGGCGGCUUCCAUUGGAUUUUUUUUUUUUUUUCUUUUUGAGAAAUACAUACAUAAUGCAUACUCUAGUGUUGUGGAAUUCGACUAAA